AUGUUGGCAUUGCCAAGUAUUGACAAUACCAAGACUUGCCAACUAUUUGCAACUUUAUUUGUAACCAAUUAUGCCGAAGGAGCAACCCCUUUUUUCACUUUAAAUUGGUCCAAAUACGCAGAAUUUCUGACUUUUCGCGGAGGACUAGAUCCAGUAACCGGUGGUCUCUGGCUGACCGAUAUUGCACACCAUCAUUUAGCUAGUGCUAUUCUUUUCCUAAUCGCAGGUCAUAUGUAUAGGACCAAUUGGGGUAUUGGCCAUGGACUUAAAAGAUAUUUUGGAGGCUCACAAGGGCCCAUUUACAGGACAAGGCCAUAA
rnacentral:rRNA from 1 species